UACGUAGGGGGCAAGCGUUGUCCGGAUUUACUGGGCGUAAAGAGCGUGUAGGCGGCCAAGCAGGUCCGUUGUGAAAACUGGAGGCUUAACCUCCAGACGUCGACGGAAACCGCGUGGCUAGAGUCCGGAAGAGGAGAGUGGAAUUCCUGGUGUAGCGGUGAAAUGCGCAGAUAUCAGGAAGAACACCAAUGGCGAAGGCAGCUCUCUGGGACGGUGCUGACGCUGAGACGCGAAAGCGUGGGGAGCGAACAGG
rnacentral:rRNA from 1 species